ACUUUUUAAAUAUUUCAAACACAGUAGGCUACAAAUCCAACCUACAAACCGCCAGUUGUUAUAUAAAGGCCAAAGUUAAAACGUUGCAAAGUUACGCUUGAUAUUCACUUCUGUUAGUUACUAGAACGAAGUAAGAACUAAAACAAGAGCAUGCCUUCUUGCAAGUUGUAUGUUUUCUCGGCGCUUUUACUAAGUUUAGUCAUUCUAUCAUCUUCUCAUAAACACUACACUUCACCGAUUGGUAAAAGAAGGAGAGAUACUAUUGAGUCCAACAGCGACGUAAACUUCGUUUCAAAAAGUGCACAAUGCAUCGACUUGAAACUAAAAGAAUUCUACAGAACUGCUAUUGAAGACUGCCUAAGAGACGCCACAGACUCAAGAAAGAGAGUGUUUUUCAGAUAGGACAAAUGCCUCAAAAUCAAAAUGUCAAAAUGUCGAAUUAUAAAACUAAAAUGGACUAAAUCUUUGCUUUGAGAUUCAAUGAAUUGUAAAAUUGAAAAUAAACUAUUUGUUGAAUAAAAAUGUGCAUUGUUAUGAA